rnacentral:rRNA from 1 species
UACGUAGGCAGCAAGCGUUGUUCGGAAUUACUGGGCGUAAAGAGUGUGUAGGCGGUGCUCCAAGUCUGGUGUGAAAUCUCCCGGCUCAACUGGGAGGGUGCGCCGAAGACUGCAGGGCUUGAGUAUGGGAGAGGUAAGCGGAAUUCCUGGUGUAGCGGUGAAAUGCGUAGAUAUCAGGAGGAACACCUGUGGUGUAGACAGCUUACUGGACCAUAACUGACGCUGAGGCACGAAAGCGUGGGUAGCAAACAGG